rnacentral:rRNA from 1 species
GAGUUUGAUCCUGGCUCAGAAUCAACGCUGGCGGCGUGCCUCAGACAUGCAAGUCGAACGCGAAAGUCCCCUUCGGGGGACAAGUAGAGUGGCGCACGGGUGAGUAACACGUAGGUAAUCUACCUUCGGAUGGGGAAUAACAAUCGGAAACGAUUGCUAAUACCGCAUAAUGCAGCGGCACCUAAUGGUGACAGUUGUUAAAGCGGGGGAUCGAAAGACCUCGCGUCUGAAGAGGAGCCUGCGGCGGAUUAGCUAGUUGGUAAGGUAAUGGCUUACCAAGGCAACGAUCCGUAACCGGCCUGAGAGGGCGGUCGGUCACACUGACACUGACGUACGGGUCAGACUCCUACGGGAGGCAGCAGUCGGGAAUUUUGGGCAAUGGGCGAAAGCCUGACCCAGCAACGCCGCGUGAAGGAUGAAAUCCCUCGGGAUGUAAACUUCGCAAGAACGGGAAGAAUAAGUAGGGGACAAUACCCCCUAUGAUGACGGUACCGUUUGUAAGCUCCGGCUAACUCCGUGCCAGCAGCCGCGGUAAUACGGGGGGAGCAAGCGUUGUUCGGAUUUACUGGGCGUAAAGGGCGCGUAGGCGGCCAGCGCAAGUCAGUUGUGAAAUCUCCGGGCUUAACUCGGAAAGGUCA